rnacentral:lncRNA from 1 species
CUCACUCUAAUUUCAGUUUGUUUCCACAAUACUCAGAGUAACUUGCUGUUCUUUUUCUUCUUUGUUCCAUCCUUUAUUCUCCUAUGCUCCUUCCUGCAAACUGAGUUUGACCUUUGGAUUUUUUUUUUUUUUUUGGUUACACUUCACCCUGUGUGUGACAAAUAGAGAGAGAGACAGAGAGAGAGAGGAGUUUUUUUAAAUUGCGACAUUAAUUACCUUUUAUUAUUGUACACUCCUACUUAAUUAUUUGGUCUUUAGGGUUGUUCACUAUUAUUUCCUUGUUAUUGUUAUAUAUUUACUGUUGGUUCAUUUAUUUUGAGAUGGAUGUCGACUGCAUGCAUCGCAUUUAGCUGCCAGCUUGUCAUGUCUAAGAUGAACAGACAGCUCUCACCUUGCCAUGUCUAAGGUCGACCAGAUGGCUCUCGCCUUGCCAUAUCUAAGGUGGACCAGAUGGCACUUGCCUAGCCAUGUCUAAGAUUGAACAGUUGGUUCUCACCUCAUCAUAUCUAAGGUCAAGUUGGAUCUCACCUUGCCAUGUUUAAGAUUGACCAGAUGAUUCUCACCUUGCCAUAUCUAAGGUCGACCAGAUGGCUCUCACCUUGCCAUGUCUAAGGUCGAUCAGAUGGCUCUCACCUUGCCAUGUCUGAGGUUGACCAGAUGGGUCUCCUCUUCGAGUGAGUUCAACAAGAUGGCUCUCACCUUGCCAUGUCUAAGGUUGACCAGAUGGAUCUUGCCUUGCCAUGUCUAGUGAUAUUAAUUACUUUUUACUUUUGUUAACUGCAACCUGUUUAUGUAUUGUUCUUUAAUUUUUUUGUCAUUGUUAAAUAUUUACUGUUGGAUUUGUUUAUUUAUUUUGAGAGAGAUGUCGGCUGUGAGCGUUGGACUAAGGUCGACCUGAUGGACCUCACCUCUCGCCUUGCCAUGUCUAAGGUCGACCAGAUCUCUCUCGCCAGCAGCAGUACAAUUCAGGUUGAGCAGAGGGAUGGGAUCGUGAUUCACUGUGGCCUUGAUCUUCCUGGUCUCGCCCGGGCGGUCUUCCCAACUGGCCUCCCGUGUCCCUUGGACUACUCAGACCUUCUUCCUCUCUUUUUUCCUAAUUCCACUUUCUGUUUGUUUCCAUAGUACUUGGAGAGACUUGCUAUUCUUUUUUUUCUUUGUUCUUUUCUCUCUCUCUUUUCCUAUGCUUCUUCCUGCACGAAUGGCAACUCUGCCAAGGCGCCUAUGAGAGCCUCUUGGCUUUUACCUGGUCUGCGAGAAAUCAAACUUUGGGCACAAGUCAUGAAGCCGACAAGCCCGGGAGACACAGUGUCAGAAUUACAAGGUGAGAUCAGCCGCCCGGCCAAGCUAUCUUCUCGCUAGCAGGUAGUAGCAUCUUAGCUGCUUCCGGCCGCUGGUCGCAGGGCUGCGGGACUACAAUCUUCGCAUGAAAUGGAAGAGAGGGUGGUGCGGAUAGCUUGAGGAAGGUGAACACUACAAGGCCUGUUAGAGAAGAAAGGGUAGAAUCCCGAGAAUGUUUUCCCCACAGUGCUGAUAAGGAGAGACCACUAUCCCAUCUACUGCUACAGCUCUGGAGACAGAGCUCUCCCACCUGUCAUAUAGAACACAAGGACCAAUCUGCAGAGAAAGAGCAUCCAAACCUGAUCCAGUGGACACUGGGGAAAAACUCACCACAGCUGAGUGUGGAAAAACAAGGCCAACACACACAUCUCUGCACAGAUACAUCUCCCAUAAAGAAACUAAAGUGUUAAUUUACAGGGCACUGUUGCAGACCCACUUCAGCUGGAAGCUAGGAACAUGGACAAGGAGCCUCUCUACCACCAAGGGAGAGAGAGGAAUGUGCUCUUGUCCUGGCAUUGCAUCCACAGGAGGGGCAGGAAAUUCUUUGAAGGUGUUUUCAGAUCUCAUGACUACUUUAUUUUGGAGUUGCCAGACUCAGCAAAUAAAAAUUCCUCACUAUGUCCCCUCAGCUCCUAUCUCUGUAUGGCCUUUUUUUUCCUAGGUUAUGAUUAUAGAGUGAGGAUUAUUAUAAUACUGGAAUAAAGAGUAAUUGCUACAAACUAAUGAUUAAUGAUAUUCAUAUAUAAUCAUAUCUAAGAUCUAUAUUUGGUAUAACUAUUCUUGUUUUAUGUUUUAUUAUACUGGAACAGCUUGUGUCCUUGGUCUCUUGCCUCGGCACCUGGGUGGCUUGCUGCCCACAUACAACAAUGUUCAUAUCCUAAACUCCAGAAUCUGUGAAUAUCUUAGGUAAUGUGACAAAGGAAAAUUAAGAUAUAGAUAGUGUCAAGGUUAACAAGCAGCUGACUUCAUGAUAAAUUAUCUUUAUCAUGAGCAGAAGCCUCACGUAAUUAGAAGGGCGCUUAAAUAUGAAAGAGGGAGAAAAAAAGAAACUUUAUCACACUGAUGUGAUAUUAGGUCAACUCAAUGCAAUAUUUUUUUCCUAAGAAAAUUUUUGGGGAUUAUUUUCCCAUUAGCAUAAAGUUCAGUUCAGUUGUUCAAACACCUGUGAUUUAUUUUUACAUGCAUAUUACUAUGGAUGGUGAUAAUUAAACAAAAAAUGCAGAAAAUAAAGAAAUGCUUUCUGAAGAGUGAGCCCAGGUACUAUAUUAUUAUAUGAGUAUAGAGUCUCGCAUCUGGGGCUCGAUCUCGUGCAGAGGAGCAUUUCCGAAGACACUGGCCGCUCCCACAAUGGCUCCGAAGAACCCAGCGACCAGCGGGUUCAUGAGUUUGUUGGGGCUGUCCACUCGGUACCAGCUGCGCAGGGAUGUCAGGACAAAGAAACAAGUUGCCUGGUUCCAGCCCUGCUUCAGCACGGGGCCUGUGGGGCCCCGGUAAGUCCCGGUGUUCCCGCACAAUCUCCUAACCCUGUGGAAGAAUCCCCUGUACUUGGAUUUGGAGAGGUCUGGCCAUGGAUUAACUUCACCUUGAUGGUCUCCAUGGGACAUAGGACCACCACGGCCUCGGCCACGCUAGCUCACUGGCCGCACCGCUGCCCGCCUUGCUGUUCACCAGUCCCUGGGCAUCCCGCAUCUGGUUGCUGAGGAACGCCUGACGCCGCCUUGUGGAUGAAGCCGCAGAGCAGGGAGCUGAGGCUGCGGCCCAGGCCCAGGCUGCCUUGGCUGCGACUGUGUGCCUGCAGGCCCCAUGCCCGGUAUCCGGUGGAUGCGAGUGCUAGUCCAGCUGCAGCUGCAUCUUCACGAACUCGGUGGGGAACGGGAUGCAGAUUUUUUUUUUCUUUUCCUUCCUUCCUUCCUUCCUUCCAACUUCCUUCCUUCCUUCC